rnacentral:rRNA from 1 species
GAUGAACGCUGGCGGCGUGCCUAAUACAUGCAAGUCGAGCGAACAGACGAGGAGCUUGCUCCUCUGACGUUAGCGGCAGACGGGAGAGUAACACGUGGAUAACCUACCUAUAAGACUGGGAUAACUUCGGGAAACCGGAGCUAAUACCGGAUAAUAUAUUGAACCGCAUGGUUCAAUAGUGAAAGACGGUUUUGCUGUCACUUAUAGAUGGAUCCGCGCCGCAUUAGCUAGUUGUUAAGGUAACGGCUUACCAAGGCAACGAUGCGUAGCCGACCUGAGAGGGUGAUAGGCCACACGGGAACGGAGCCACGGUCAAGACUACUACGGGAGGCAGCAGUAGGGAAUCUUACGCAAUGGGCGAGAGCAUGACGGAGCAACGCCGCGUGAGUUAUAAAGGUCUUCGGAUCGUAAAACUGUGUUAUGAGGGAAGAACAAAUGUGUAAGUAACUAUGCACGUCGUGACGGUACCUAAUCAGAAAGCAACGGCUAACUACGUG